rnacentral:snoRNA from 1 species
AUGCAUCUCUGAGAGACCUGGGGCAGUUAAUGUCUGCUGCUAAGGUUUCCACUACAGAUGCAAGGAAAAGAAGGUCCUUGCGCUUUCCGUCUCUCUGGUUGUGGCAACCAAGAUCAGGGGGAAUAAGGAAAUUCUAAA